AUGAUAUCAAGCGUGGGGGCAACAGAGGCAUGCUUUGCUGUGAAAGGCGAGGCCAUGGAUGCAUCCCCAAGCUUUACAAUCGGUGCUGAGCGGCCAUCACUUUCAUCAUUCAUUUCAUCUAACAUCUUCUGCAGCUUUUCGCGCUGUUUCUCAGCAGCAGUCAAGGGGCGGCUGCUGGGUGCUUUAGCGGAACUGCUAGCUGGUGGAACCAAUUGCGAUGAUGACUCGUUAGCAGGUUUCGGUUUUUUCAGCUUCCCUGAUUUGCUUUCAAGUUUGGAUGACUGA
rnacentral:rRNA from 1 species